ACGACCUCGGUCAGGCAGGAUUACAUGCUUAGUUUAU
rnacentral:rRNA from 1 species